UGGGGAAUAUUGGACAAUGGGCGAAAGCCUGAUCCAGCAAUGCCGCGUGUGUGAAGAAGGCCUGCGGGUUGUAAAGCACUUUCAUCAGGGACGAAAAACCCGGGGCGAAUACCCCCGGGCCUUGACUUAACCUGAACAAGAAGCACCGGCUAACUCCGUGCCAGCAGCCGCGGUAAUACGGAGGGUGCGAGCGUUAAUCGGAAUUACUGGGCGUAAAGCGCACGUAGGAGGCGGAAUCAGUCAGAUGUGAAAUCCCCGGGCUUAACCUGGGAAUUGCAUUUGAUACUGUUCCGCUAGAGUCUGGCAGAGGUAAGCGGAAUUCCGGGUGUAGCGGUGGAAUGCGUAGAUAUCCGGAAGAACACCAGUGGCGAAGGCGGCUUACUGGGCCAAGACUGACUCUGAGGUGCGAAAGCGUGGGGAGCGAACAGGAUUAGAUACCCCCGUAGUCC
rnacentral:rRNA from 1 species